GUCCUGGUGAACAACAAGAUCUCCAAGAUCCACGAGAAGGCCUUCAGCCCACUGCGGAAGCUGCAGAAGCUCUACAUCUCCAAGAACCACCUGGUGGAGAUCCCGCCCAACCUACCCAGCUCCCUGGUGGAGCUCCGCAUCCACGACAACCGCAUCCGCAAGGUGCCCAAGGGCGUGUUCAGCGGGCUCCGGAACAUGAACUGCAUCGAGAUGGGCGGGAACCCACUGGAGAACAGUGGCUUUGAACCUGGAGCCUUUGAUGGCCUGAAGCUCAACUACCUGCGCAUCUCAGAGCUGCCCCUGCUCUCCCACCACAGCCACCCAGAGGCACCCCAUGAAGCUUUUUUCUCAUUCACUCCCAAACCCAAGUGUCCAAGGCUCCAGUCCUAGGAGAACAGUCCCUGGGUCAGCAGCCAGGAG
rnacentral:sRNA from 1 species